GACGAACGCUGGCGGCGUGCCUAAUACAUGCAAGUAGAACGCUGAAGGAGGAGCUUGCUUCUCUGGAUGAGUUGCGAACGGGUGAGUAACGCGUUGGUAACCUGCCUGGUAGCGGGGGAUAACUAUUGGAAACGAUAGCUAAUACCGCAUAAGAGUAGAUGUUGCAUGACAUUUGCUUAAAAGGUGCAAUUGCAUCACUACCAGAUGGACCUGCGUUGUAUUAGCUAGUUGGUGGGGUAACGGCUCACCAAGGCGACGAUACAUAGCCGACCUGAGAGGGUGAUCGGCCACACUGGGACUGAGACACGGCCCAGACUCCUACGGGAGGCAGCAGUAGGGAAUCUUCGGCAAUGGACGGAAGGCUGACCGAGCAACGCCGCGUGAGUGAAGAAGGUUUUCGGAUCGUAAAGCUCUGUUGUAAGAGAAGAACGAGUGUGAGAGUGGAAAGUUCACACUGUGACGGUAGCUUACCAGAAAGGGACGGCUAACUACGUG
rnacentral:rRNA from 1 species